rnacentral:rRNA from 1 species
AGCAGUAGCCGCGGUAAAACGUAGGGGGCAAGCGUUAUCCGGAAUUACUGGGUGUAAAGGGAGCGUAGACGGUUAAACAAGUCUGAAGUGAAAUGCCGGGGCUCAACCCCGGAGCUGCUUUGGGAACUGUAGAACUGGAGUGUCGGAGGGGUAAGCGGAAUUCCCAGUGUAGCGGUGAAAUGCGUAGAUAUUGGGGGGAACACCGGCGGCGAAGGCGGCUUACUGGACGACAACUGACGUUGAGGCUCGAAGGCGUGGGUAGCAAACAGGAUUAGAUACCCCCGUAGUCCCUGUCUCUUAUAC